rnacentral:rRNA from 1 species
UACGUAGGGGACGAGCGUUGUCCGGAAUUACUGGGCGUAAAGGGUGCGUAGGUGGUUUCUUAAGUCAGAGGUGAAAGGCUACGGCUCAACCGUAGUAAGCCUUUGAAACUGGGAAACUUGAGUGCAGGAGAGGAGAGUGGAAUUCCUAGUGUAGCGGUGAAAUGCGUAGAUAUUAGGAGGAACACAGGUGGCGAAGGCGGCUUGCUGGACGGCAACUGACGUUGAGGCUCGAAAGCGUGGGGAGCAAACAGGAUUAGAUACCCCGGUAGUUCCUGAGCGGGCU